rnacentral:rRNA from 1 species
CUUCGGCCUGGAAGAGAUAUAUUUUAGUGGCGGACGGGUGAGUAACGCGUGGGCAAUCUGCCUUGUAGAAAGGGAUAACAGGCCGAAAGGCUUGCUAAUACCGGAUGAGCUUGUUUUGUCGCAUGAUGAGACAAGGAAAGGGGAAACCCGCUACAAGAUGAGCCUGCGUCCCAUUAGCUAGUUGGUGAGAUAACAGCCCACCAAGGCGACGAUGGGUAGCCGGCCUGAGAGGGUGACCGGCCACAUUGGAACUGAGAAACGGUCCAGACUCC